rnacentral:rRNA from 1 species
CCGGGGAGCUUGCUCCCUGGAGCCGAGUGGCGAACGGGUGAGUAACACGUGACCAACCUGUCCUAGGGUGAGGGACAACCCGGGGAAACCUGGGCUAAUACCGCAUGAUGUCAUCGGAUCGCAUGGCCUGAUGAUCAAAGGGGGCCUCUGCUUGCAAGCUCUCGCCCGAGGAGGGGGUCGCGGCGUAUCAGCUAGUUGGCGGGGUAACGGCCCACCAAGGCUACGACGCGUAGCGGAUCUGAGAGGAUGAUCCGUCACAUUGGGACUGAGAUACGGCCCAGACUCCUACGGGAGGCAGCAGUGGGGAAUAUUGCGCAAUGGACGAAAGUCUGACGCAGCGACGCCGCGUGUGGGAGGAAGCUCUUCGGGGUGUAAACCACUGUCAGAGGGGAAGAACGGCGUCUGGUCGAACAGGUCAGGCGAUUGACGGUACCCUCAAAGGAAGCGCCGGCUAACUCCGUGCCAGCAGCCGCGGUAAGACGGAGGGCGCAAGCGUUGUUCGGAAUUACUGGGCGUAAAGCGCGGGCAGGUGGUCUGUUAAGUCGUUUGUGAAAAUCCGGGGCUCAACCCCGUGAAAUGCGUACGAUACUGGCAGGCUGGAGAUCGGUAGAGGCUAGCGGAAUUCCUGGUGUAGCGGUGGAAUGC